rnacentral:rRNA from 1 species
CCUACGGGAGGCAGCAGUGAGGAAUAUUGGUCAAUGGGCGGAAGCCUGAACCAGCCAAGUAGCGUGCGGGAUGAAGGCCCUACGGGUCGUAAACCGCUUUUGCACGGGGAUAACACCCUCCACUUGUGGAGGUCUGCAGGUACCGUGCGAAUAAGGGCCGGCUAAUUCCGUGCCAGCAGCCGCGGUAAUACGGAAGGCCCGAGCGUUAUCCGGAUUCAUUGGGCUUAAAGGGAGCGUAGGCGGGCGUUCAAGUCAGCUGUAAAAUCGCGCGGCUCAACCGCGCCCCGCAGUUGAAACUGGACGCAUUGAGUUCACAACAGGCAGGCGGAAUUCGUGGUGUAGCGGUGAAAUGCAUAGAGAUCACGAGGAACCCCGAUUGCGAAGGCAGCCUGACGGGGUGCGACUGACGCUGAGGCUCGAAGGUGCGGGUAUCAAACAGGAUUAGAUACCCCGGUAGUC